GAGUGGCGGACGGGUGAGUAACACGUGGGUAACCUGCCCAGAAGCAGGGGAUAACACCUGGAAACAGAUGCUAAUACCGUAUAACAGAGAAAACCGCCUGGUUUUCUUUUAAAAGAUGGCUCUGCUAUCACUUCUGGAUGGACCCGCGGCGCAUUAGCUAGUUGGUGAGGUAACGGCUCACCAAGGCGAUGAUGCGUAGCCGACCUGAGAGGGUAAUCGGCCACAUUGGGACUGAGACACGGCCCAGACUCCUACGGGAGGCAGCAGUAGGGAAUCUUCCACAAUGGACGCAAGUCUGAUGGAGCAACGCCGCGUGAGUGAAGAAGGGUUUCGGCUCGUAAAGCUCUGUUGUUAAAGAAGAACGUGGGUGAGAGUAACUGUUCACCCAGUGACGGUAUUUAACCAGAAAGCCACGGCUAACUACGUGCCAGCAGCCGCGGUAAUACGUAGGUGGCAAGCGUUAUCCGGAUUUAUUGGGCGUAAAGCGAGCGCAGGCGGUCUUUUAAGUCUAAUGUGAAAGCCUUCGGCUCAACCGAAGAAGUGCAUUGGAAACUGGGAGACUUGAGUGCAGAAGAGGACAGUGGAACUCCAUGUGUAGCGGUGAAAUGCGUAGAUAUAUGGAAGAACACCAGUGGCGAAGGCGGCUGUCUGGUCUGUAACUGACGCUGAGGCUCGAAAGCAUGGGUAGCGAACAGGAUUAGAUACCCUGGUAGUCCAUGCCGUAAACGAUGAUUACUAAGUGUUGGAGGGUUUCCGCCCUUCAGUGCUGCAGCUAACGCAUUAAGUAAUCCGCCUGGGGAGUACGACCGCAAGGUUGAAACUCAAAAGAAUUGACGGGGGCCCGCACAAGCGGUGGAGCAUGUGGUUUAAUUCGAAGCUACGCGAAGAACCUUACCAGGUCUUGACAUCUUCUGCCAACCUGAGAGAUUAGGCGUUCCCUUCGGGGACAGAAUGACAGGUGGUGCAUGGUUGUCGUCAGCUCGUGUCGUGAGAUGUUGGGUUAAGUCCCGCAACGAGCGCAACCCUUAUUACUAGUUGCCAGCAUUCAGUUGGGCACUCUAGUGAGACUGCCGGUGACAAACCGGAGGAAGGUGGGGACGACGUCAAAUCAUCAUGCCCCUUAUGACCUGGGCUACACACGUGCUACAAUGGAUGGUACAACGAGUUGCGAAACCGCGAGGUUUAGCUAAUCUCUUAAAACCAUUCUCAGUUCGGACUGUAGGCUGCAACUCGCCUACACGAAGUCGGAAUCGCUAGUAAUCGCGGAUCAGCAUGCCGCGGUGAAUACGUUCCCGGGCCUUGUACACACCGCCCGUCACACCAUGAGAGUUUGUAACACCCAAAGCCGGUGGGGUAACCUUUUAGGAGCUAGCCGUCUAAGGUGGGACAGAUGAUUAGGGUGA
rnacentral:rRNA from 1 species